CACCCUUUAGACUUCCAAUGCUUCUGGCUUUAAUAUUCUGUGCUAGAUUCACAGAGCUCCUCUACAGAUGCUAAGCGUUCAAUCCUGAAGGCUCCACUUCAUCAUCAGGGGUCCUUCAGCAGCCAUCAUUAUCCCAUGCCAACUGCCCUCUUCGUUUGCCUACUGACAACCAGUGUCCUUUCCUAAAAUGGGACUUCAGAGGGAAAGGAAGAUAUGUUUUACAACAUGGUUUAUGAUAUGUUUCAUGACAUUUCUAAUGCUUGAAGAAUUCAACACUUUGCAGAAACUCUUCUGGAUCACCUAUGCUAAAAGUUUAUUCACACCAAGAUUUCAGCCAGGCUCAGCAGCAGCACAGAGGAGCCCCUCAGCUGCCCUCCAUCACCAUAUGAAAGAGAGCAGAAAGGAUGUGUCUACCUUACUGAUAGGUGCCAUGCACAGACAGAAGGCCUGGGACUCAGUUUGCAGUGUGCCACAGUGCUCAGAUUACAGAGCUAUAUUGUGUCUCUCCUGGUGCUGAAGCUCACACUCUCUGCAAAGGCAGGCAAACAUCAUGCAAACAUAGAGUUAACUGUUGUAAGACUUCAAGCCCACAUUACAAAGAGAGUGCAUAUAUUCCCCCAUGAAUAGCUUCAUCUGUGGUUCCACUAGGAAAUCAACCAAUUCACACUAAUUCAUGGUACAUUUACAUGUUUACUGCAUGACUGCAAACACAGGUGCUACAUUUCAAAGACCCUUAAGAAACUAGAUUUCAGAAGAAGUUUUAUAACCAGGGAAGUGAUCAACAUCAUGAAGUUUACAACUGACAAAUAUAUGUGAUGAAAAGCUCAAAGACAAAAUAAAUUAGCUUCUGCAUUAUGCCA
rnacentral:lncRNA from 1 species